rnacentral:rRNA from 1 species
GACGAACGCUGGCGGCGCGCUUAACACAUGCAAGUCGAGCGAGAACCUUGGACUUCGGUCCUUGGGGACAGCGGCGAACGGGUGCGUAACACGUGGGUAAUCUGCCCUCGGCACCGGGAUAGCCCGGGAAACCCGGAUUAAUACCGGAUGGCCUUUCGAGCUCGCGAGCUCGAAAGAAAAGGUAGCUUCGGCCUCCGGCCGAGGAUGAGCCCGCGGCGGAUUAGCUUGUUGGUGGGGUAAUGGCUCACCAAGGCAACGAUCCGUAGCUGGUCUGAGAGGACGAUCAGCCUCACUGGGACUGAGACACGGCCCAGACUCCUACGGGAGGCAGCAGUGGGGAAUCUUGCGCAAUGGGCGAAAGCCUGACGCAGCGACGCCGCGUGAGGGAAGAAGGCCUUCGGGUUGUAAACCUCUUUCAGGAGGGACGAAGCCACUCGGGUUAAUAGCCCAGAGGGUGACGGUACCUCCAGAAGAAGCCCCGGCUAACUACGUG